AUUAUCAAGUUUGUCAUUUACCCAUGUAUCCUCAACCGUCCUAAAUCUUAUCGAUAGCUUCAAAACCUCCAAAGAUUAUAUUCCACACACAAGUGCAGAACAGUUUCACCUCCGUCCAACUUGAACUUAGCUACUUCUGGACGUGCCUGAACCAACUCGCUCACCACAUCAACUCGGCCUUUCAUGGCAGCCAGAUGAGGAGGAGUCCUCCCGUCUUCAUCGCGCACGAGACGAACACUAGGGUUUGCCAUUAACAACACCUUCACUAUCUCGAUGUACCCAUUUGCAGAGGCCAAGUGAAGAGGCGAUCGGCCCUUUGAAUCUAAAUCAGAGACCAAGUCUUUCUUGAGAGUCACAAGAGCUUUUGCAAAAUCCAAAUGACCUUGCAUAGCAGCAAUGUGAAGAGGAUUCUCAUCGAAACAAGUGAGUGAAGAUCGGGACGCAGUGAUUCAAUCAACUUCUUCAAGGACUCAGUAUUCCCACUCACUGAUGCUUCAUAAAGCAUAUUCUCUCUCAUACCUAUCUCAGUCUCAUGAGUUCCUUCCAUUUCUGGCACUUGGUGCUUGCCUUGGUGAUAGAAAGUUGAAAACAGCCCGAAGCAAACCCAAGGUUCACAUUUCGAUCGAUCGAGAGAGAUUUGUCGGAAUUCAACGUGAUCUUUAUUGAUCGAUCAACAUGAGUUUUCUAUUCGGCAAGAGGAAGACACCUGCAGGGAUUGGUGAUAUGCCUCCAACCAAGUAAAGGAUAGUGGAUAUCUUUUAAAAGGAGCACUAAAGCUCUUUUGUUGUUUAUGAGCUACAGCUAUGGAGCUUAUUUGUCUUGAGUUAGUGUUUCCCAAUUUUGUGCAAUUAAGGCCAUAGCCUUGAAAGAUGUAAGCCAUCAGGGUAUUUUUAUUUGCAUUUCUCUUACUCUUUGAACUACUUGUGUAUUUAUUUUGUUUUGUGGAAAGAUCCGAAUGUAAUGUGAACAUGUAUCACUUUUGAGAAGUUCAAGGAGGAGGAGAAGUAGUUUUCAGGUAUCAGAUUCAUAUGUUCAAUAUAUUUCUUUGGUGCUUCUA